rnacentral:tRNA from 8 species
GGCCCUUUAGCUCAGAUGGUAGAGCAGAGGACUGAAAAUCCUCGUGUCCCCAGUUCAAUUCUGGGAGGGGCCACCA